GACGAACGCUGGCGGCGUGCCUAAUACAUGCAAGUAGAACGCUGAAGGAGGAGCUUGCUCUUCUGGAUGAGUUGCGAACGGGUGAGUAACGCGUAGGUAACCUGCCUGGUAGCGGGGGAUAACUAUUGGAAACGAUAGCUAAUACCGCAUAACAGUAGAUGUUGCAUGACAUUUGCUUAAAAGGUGCAAUUGCACCACUACCAGAUGGACCUGCGUUGUAUUAGCUAGUUGGUGGGGUAACGGCUCACCAAGGCGACGAUACAUAGCCGACCUGAGAGGGGGAUCGGCCACACUGGGACUGAGACACGGCCCAGACGCCUACGGGAGGCAGCAGGAGGGAAUCUUCGGCAAUGGACGGAAGUCUGACCGAGCAACGCCGCGUGAGUGAAGAAGGUUUUCGGAUCGUAAAGCUCUGUUGUAAGAGAAGAACGAGUGUGAGAGUGGAAAGUUCACACUGUGACGGUAUCUUACCAGAAAGGGACGGCUAACUACGUG
rnacentral:rRNA from 1 species